GGGGUGGGCCCCGGACAGGUCAAGACUUUUAUCUGUUUAGGGAAAAGAAGGUCAUAGGGUGGAAGCAGAGGCACAUGGAAAGGAAAGAAUGAAGCGCUCACACCGGAAGCUUUUGAAUGGGGAGAAAAUAGGUCAACCGUGGCUGAGGGAAUCACUCCCUCCUCAAGAAUUUCAUCUCUGGGCCUGAAAUUCCACCCCGAGAGGUCCACUCAUUUGCACGUGGAAGACUUGUUAGUUUGCAGAGCUUGCACACUUGAGUACAAAUACCGUUAUCGACAGGUAAGACCUUGGUUUGACUCUGAUCAACAAAACAUUCAGACUUUGUCAGGAUGAAAUUCUAGAUUAGGAGCUGGAGAAGAGAUUCCUGGAGGAGGAAGAGAAAAAAGUGGAAAAGCAGUGAGACAGACUUACACUGUACCCACUCACUGUGUGUGCCGGGCACUUGCCGAGGUUUACGUUACGUAACCUUUGUUAUGUUGCUGGGAGGGAUGGGUUACUGAGCCCACCUGAAAGAUGAGAAGACUGGGAAUCCAAAAAGUUGACUAAAUUGCUCAGAUCGUUACAGAGUACUUACUUUACUUUAACUCUGGUUAUUUUUCUGUGUUAGUGCCUACAGAUUCACUUUCGAGUAUUUCUUCUUUUAAUCAACCCAUGUCUCUUACAUUAGAUAUUAAGUAUCUUUGGUCGUUU
rnacentral:lncRNA from 1 species